rnacentral:snRNA from 1 species
GUCCUUAUGCUAGGGUUUGAGCUUCUGACAGUGAGGAGAAAUCCGAGUCGAAGCAAUUGCUGAUUGCAAAAAACAAUCCUACCGUUGUAUUGCGUCGCAAGACCGAUACACAAUUUCUGGAAAACAUAUCUCAAUUCGAGAGAUCUACAAAUAUAUCUUUUAUAAUUUUUUCUCGAAAUGU